UACGUAGGGAGCAAGCGUUGUUCGGAUUUACUGGGCGUAAAGGGCGCGUAGGCGGCAAAUUAAGUCAGCUGUGAAAUCUCCGAGCUUAACUCGGAACGGUCAGCUGAUACUGAUCUGCUAGAGUGCGGAAGGGGCAAUCGGGAAUUCUUGGUGUAGCGGUGAAAUGGCGUAGAUAUCAAGAGGAACACCUGAGGUGAAGACGGGUGCUGGGCCGACACGUGACGCUGAGUGCGCGAAAGCCAGGGGAGCAAACGG
rnacentral:rRNA from 1 species